rnacentral:SRP_RNA from 1 species
GCUGGGCAUGGUGGCGUGCACCUGUAAUCCCAGCUACUCGGGAGGCUGAGGCAGGAGAAUUGCUUGAGCCCAGGAGGCGGAGGUUGCAGUGAGCCGAGAUCGUGCCACUGCACUCCAGCCUGGGCAACAGAGUGAGACUCUGUCUCCA